rnacentral:rRNA from 1 species
GAUGAACGCUAGCGGGAGGCUUAACACAUGCAAGUCGAGGGGUAUAGUAGCAAUACUAGAGACCGGCGGACGGGUGCGUAACGCGUAUGCAACUUGCCUUAUACAGGGGGAUAGCCCGUGGAAACGCGGAUUAAUACCCCAUAUGUCAUUUGGGUCGCAUGGUUUGAAUGAUAAAGCUGAGGUGGUAUAAGAUGGGCAUGCGUCUGAUUAGCUUGUUGGUAAGGUAACGGCUUACCAAGGCGACGAUCAGUAGGGGUUCUGAGAGGAUAAUCCCCCACACGGGUACUGAGACACGGACCAGACUCCUACGGGAGUCAGCAGUGAGGAAUAUUGGUCAAUGGGCGAGAGCCUGAACCAGCCAUUCCGCGUGAAGGAAGAAGGCCUUCGGGUUGUAAAGCUCUUUCGCAAGGGAAGAAAACUUAGCCUCUAACAUAGGCUGAGGUUGACGGUACCUUGAUAAGAAGCACCGGCUAACUACGUGCCAGCCGCCGCAGUAAAAC